rnacentral:rRNA from 1 species
GAUGAACGCCGGCGGCAGGCCUAACACAUGCAAGUCGAACGGAUCCUUCGGGAUUAGUGGCGGACGGGUGAGUAACGCGUGGGAACAUACCCUUUGGUACGGAAUAGCCUCGGGAAACUGGGAGUAAUACCGUAUGUGGUCGAGAGACGAAAGAUUUAUCGCCAAAGGAUUGGCCCGCGUUGGAUUAGGUAGUUGGUGGGGUAAUGGCCUACCAAGCCGACGAUCCAUAGCUGGUUUGAGAGGAUGAUCAGCCACACUGGGACUGAGACACGGCCCAGACUCCUACGGGAGGCAGCAGUGGGGAAUCUUAGACAAUGGGGGAAACCCUGAUCUAGCCAUGCCGCGUGGUCGAUGAAGGCCUUAGGGUUGUAAAGAUCUUUCAGGUGGGAAGAUAAUGACUGUACCACCAGAAGAAGCCCCGGCUAACUCCGUGCCAGCCGCCGCCGUAAGAC